UACAGAGGGUGCAAGCGUUAAUCGGAAUUACUGGGCGUAAAGCGCGCGUAGGUGGUUUGUUAAGUUGGAUGUGAAAUCCCCGGGCUCAACCUGGGAACUGCAUCCAAAACUGGCAACCUAGAGUAUGGUAGAGGGUGGUGGAAUUUCCUGUGUAGCGGUGAAAUGCGUAGAUAUAGGAAGGAACACCAGUGGCGAAGGCGACCACCUGGACUGAUACUGACACUGAGGUGCGAAAGCGUGGGGAGCAAACAGG
rnacentral:rRNA from 1 species